AUUAGUAGCAAGAGCAAGAGGGCCCACCUGAAUCCAUUCUGAACUCAGUAGUUAAGCCUCUUUACGCCGACGAUAGCCAAAUGGUGAAAAUAGGGAGCUGCUUUUU
rnacentral:rRNA from 1 species